rnacentral:rRNA from 1 species
AACGAACGCUGGCGGCAGGCCUAAAACAUGCAAGUCGAACGAACCUUCGGGUUAGUGGCGCACGGGUGCGUAACGCGUGGGAAUAUACCUCUGGGUGCGGAACAACGUCUGGAAACGGACGCUAAUACCGCAUAAUAUCUACGGAUCAAAGAUUUAUCGCCCAGAGAUUAGCCCGCGUCUGAUUAGCUAGUUGGUGAGGUAAUGGCUCACCAAGGCGACGAUCAGUAGCUGGUCUGGGAGGAUGAUCAGCCACACUGGAACUGGGACCCGGUCCAGACUCCUACGGGAGGCAGCAGUUGGGAAUAUUGGACAAUGGGGGAAACCCUGAUCCAGCCAUGCCGCGUGAGUGAAGAAGGCCUUAGGGUUGUAAAGCUCUUUCGGCUGUGAAGAUAAUGACAGUAGCAGAAGAAGAAGCUCCGGCUAAAUUCGUGCCAGCAGCCGCCGUAA